UGGAAUGGCUAAAUGCUUUAAUGUUGAGGCCAUUGGUUUUUUAAAUUCCAAGUACCAUCUUUCCAAUACGGAAACCUAGCUGUUCCCUGAAACUUGCUGUUAGCCUCCCCCCACAUCUGAAUUUUAAUUUUUAAAACCAUUUGCCUGUUGCUUAGAACAUCAUCAUGGAAGAGGUGGCUUUAGAGGUCGUGGUGGAUUCCGUGGAGGCAGAGGUGGUGAUCGUGGCUUUGGCUCAGGAAAAAUGGGAGGAGGAAGAAGUGAUCACAGAUCAGAUCGACGUGACAGGCCUUACUGAAAGCAUGCUGGGAACAAGAAUUUUCUUUUUUUUUUGCUUUAGUGGUGCUUUAACAUCGAUGCAAUGUAAUGUACUUUUUCAUAGUAUGUAUUUGAAGACAAAGAUUAAAAUGAAUUUUUAAUAAA